rnacentral:rRNA from 1 species
GUAGGUGGCAAGCGUUGUCCGGAAUUAUUGGGCGUAAAGCGCGCGCAGGUGGUUCUUUAAGUCUGAUGUGAAAGCCCCCGGCUCAACCGGGGAGGGUCAUUGGAAACUGGAGAACUUGAGUGCAGGAGAGGAAAGUGGAAUUCCACGUGUAGCGGUGAAAUGCGUAGAUAUGUGGAGGAACACCAGUGGCGAAGGCGACUUUCUGGCCUGUAACUGACACUGAGGCGCGAAAGCGUGGGGAGCAAACAGGGAUUAGAUACCCUGGUAGUCCACGCCGUAAACGAUGAGUGCUAAGUGUUGGGGGGGUUUCCGCCCCCUCAGUGCUGCAGCUAACGCAUUAAGCACUCCGCCUGGGAGUACGGUCGCAAGACUG